rfam:Desulfotomaculum kuznetsovii DSM 6115, complete genome.
AAACCCUUUAAGUCGGUCCCGUGAGGCCGGCAAGGAACAUAGGUCAUAGAAGUACAGCGUUAACUAUGCCUGCUUGCCGGUGGCAAGCAGGCAUUUUUAU